rnacentral:rRNA from 1 species
GAUGAACGCUAGCUACAGGCUUAACACAUGCAAGUCGAGGGGAAACGACAUCGACAGCUUGCUUUUGAUGGGCGUCGACCGGCGCACGGGUGAGUAACGCGUAUCCAACCUGCCCACCACUUGGGGAUAACCUUGCGAAAGUAAGACUAAUACCCAAUGACGUCUCUAGAAGACAUCUGAAAGAGAUUAAAGAUUUAUCGGUGAUGGAUGGGGAUGCGACUGAUUAGCUUGUUGGCGGGGUGACGGCCAACCAAGGCGACGAUCAGUAGGGGGUCCGAGGGGAAGGUCCCCCAAAGUGGACCUGAGACACGGUCCAAACUCCUACGGGAGGCAGAAGUGAGGAAUAUUGGUCAAUGGGCGAGAGCCUGAACCAGCCAAGUAGCGUGCAGGAUGACGGCCCUAUGGGUUGUAAAGUGCGUUUAUAAGGGAAUAAAGUGGGAGUCGUGACUCCUUUUGCAUGUACCUUAUGAAUAAGGACCGGCUAAUUCCGUGCCAGCCGCCGCGGUAA